UUUUUUUAACUGUAUAAUGUCCCUCAAGUUAUGGCAGUGUACCUUGUGCCACUGAAUUUCCAAAGUGUACCAAUUUUUUUUUUACUGUGCUUCAAAUAAAUAGAAAAAAUAGUUAUAAUAUUGAUCUUCAACUUUGCCAUUCAUGCUUCUAUGCACAUUAGGCUAGGUAUUCCACUUUGAAAGCAUGAGCGUGUCUAGGCCUUCGAAUGGCACAUGCCAUUUCUGGGAAAUGGAUCUGUAGGCUAAGUAUUGCUUUCUACAAAUAAGUACCCCCUUGUUUUAAAAAGAAGAAAUGCAUAUUGAAGUAGUUUCAUGAUUUGAUUUGUUUGGCAUUCUAGGAAGCAAGCUGGUGCUAAGUAUUUUUAAAUGGUUACAUAAGCAAGCUGAACUGUAAAUCUUCCUUCAGGAAUGUGUAUUAAGAUUAUGGAAUGGGUGAAAGACUAUUGGUAGGGGGAGAAAGUGGGUAUGACUAAAUGGAUCUUUAUGGCCCUAUGAUCUAUCCUUUCCUUGAAAGUUUCUGAAGAAAAAGUGGAAAGAUCAUUCUGUUGCAUUCCUCCAUUCUUGUUUUUAAAAGAACAAGUCCCAAGCCCUACAAAUGGCUUGUAUUGAACUUUCACAUUUGAAUUAAAGAUUGUUAAACAUGAAGUCUUUUCAUGUAUUACUUCAAGCGAUUUAUGAAGAUGGGGUUUAGUUUGAAAAAUGCAACUCGAAAGUAAGAAGCGUAGUAACCAUAAAGUAGGUUUAGCUAUGUAUGCAUUUGUACUCUGUAACUUUUAUAUCUCCUUGUGCUACUGCUGGUGGGCAAAAUCUGUAGGACUAUAAAAAUCUACUUGUUCUCUUGUCUAAGUAAACUAGUGGUGACUGUUAAUGACAAAUAGGGUUGCAGAUAACGAUUCUUACUGUAAAAUAUUUAACUUGUGUUUCCAUAGUUUACUUUCGAUGUAGCACUAAAUCUGGAGAGAGUUGCCUAUGCUACACAGUACAAAUAGCCCUUCCUCCCACCAUAAAGUGUUGGAGUGUUUCGAUGGUGUUGUCAGUUGAUUGUCAACUUCAUUGAAUCUCCUUCCAUUAGGAUAAGACAUUUUGACUUAAUAUUCAAGUAGAUUUAGUUACUGUUGUCUGUUAGUACAACGGGAACCUGUUUUCCCAGUGCAUAUAUGUUAGCAGAGGAACAACUUCCUAAAAUUAGGUAAAGUAAUUGAACGGUUUGGCUUUGUUCUUAGUUAUGUUUCCAUUCAAAUUUGUACAUUACAGAACUCUUACUAUGGAAUGUGUCUUCCUCCUUUUCACCUCUGUUCUUGGUGCUAAUUGGCAAAAGUAAAAUUCUAAAUCAAAUCUUGGUUAAAAUGCUGGUUUAGUAUUGUGCCUGAGUACAAAGGGAAACCUAUUGUUGAAACAAUUGAGCACUUUCUGCAUAGGAAACUGGAUAAUACUAAAAGUAAAACACUAGUGGAGUAUAAAGGCAUGUCACCCAGUUAUGGUGGUGUGACUGACAGGUACAUGGUGUGCUAAUUAAGGAAGAGAAUCUCCUUAGAAAAUGCUCAUUAUUUCUUCACCAAGACACUUGGAAAUCGGUAGUAGUUCUACCAUAAUUCUAUCAAUGAGGAAGUUUUGUCCUAAGUCAUCAACUGGUGAUAUGUAUGAGGUUUUCUGUAUGGAAACAAGGGUCUGGAUUUGAAAGGAAUCCAUUACAAGUUGAUUGAAUUGUAUGGUAGGGACUCCACUAAUCAUAAAAUAAGGGGUGUUCAUGGGACACCCACAGAGGGUGAACUUGAAUGUGUGUGGGCGGGGGCUGGUGGGGAAGUGGGAAAAUCUGCCUAUAAAAUUAAUGUUUCAGUUUAUUUUUCAGAUUACAUGCCUUUCUUUAUAAGGGAUGCUGGCACAGACCCCUAAAAUAAGCUUUUGUUAGUACUGUACCUUUGAAGAGUGGUGAAGGAUGCUAAUGGAUAAUCUCCUGAAAGUUGUGGCUUUGAUAGCCUUACUGUGGGCUGUAGAAUUGCUAAACGUUGUUUAGCAGAUAAUGUUGCUUAGUUUCAACUAAGUUUUGCCUUUCAUCACUGAAACAGCAGUGUACCAAGGGUUGUAAGAUACUCAAAUAGACUUUCAAUAAGUCUUGCAAUGCAUAUGAUAGUUUUUAGACUAAUGUGAAUUUAAAUCAUCUUAAAAAGGAAUUUCCUAAAAGCUGAUAAUGAAAUGUGGGGUGGGAAAGGGAAUGUAGUACUUUUGAAGUAUUUUAGCCAUUUUUCUCAUUUAAAGAAACCACCUGCCCCCAUUUCCUCUUCUCCACUUUCUUUCAUAAUUUUAAGAGGAACACUGAUCCGUUUUAAGCUUAUUACUCCUAAUCUUUAAAAACUGCGUUCUCUAAGAGACCCUAGUGUAUUUAAUUAGGUACCUUAUAAGAUUAACCCAAUGGCUCACAUUCAGUGAAACCAUAAUCCUCUUGGCUUAGAACACUAAUUAAACUCCUAAAGAAGUACUAUAAACCCCACCACUCUUUAUGUAUAGAUGUAUUAUAUCACUAAUAUAAACAGAUAAUAAUUUGGGAAAUUGUAACGUUACGCCUGUGCAAUUUUUUAUGAGUGGCAUAUUAUGGCAGACAAAAAUUUAGAUACUUGGCUUUUCUUGGGCAAGCCACUAUGUUGUGGCGGAAUGUUUUCUGGUGUUCUUGGACUGCAAUUGUGCACUAUUAAAGUAGUGGCCUGCUACAUAACUGCAUUUAGCCAGCAUUUCUGCAGUGCGUAACUGUGAGGAACGUAGUACCGCAAAUGGCAAUGGACAUUAGGACCCGGAUGUAGUAUUCCUGCUUGCUCCAAGAUUCUCAUUGCCGACUGCAUACAGGUAGGUAACAAGCAAUAUAAUCUAACUUGGUGACUUGCUAUGUACUUUUAUUCCGUGGGCAUUCUGACAUCACACUUCUGACAAUGAAAUUACAGUGCAGCACCUAACACUUGUAUGGUAAAGCUAGUUUCUAUCAAAAGUGCGUGGGUUUGGGUUUAGAGCUGUAAUUUGUCAGGCAGAAUUCAGUGCUGUUGCAGUUCUCAGAUAAAAAGUGCAAACUUGAUUCUUUGGUAUGUCUGAUUCAGUUGCGUGGUUUCCUUUAGUUGCAUUGUAACUGAAGAGAACCUGGAGCACGUCAGUGGUGUGGGGGAGAGGGAGUCAAACCAUACUUGGGAGGUAGAGCGCUUUUAGCAUCUUCACACGGACUGUAUAGCAUGCGAUACUGAGUCUCUGUUGGAGCAAACUGACCUCAUAGGUCAGGAAUAUCGAAUUCAGAAUGCAAUCUUGGUAAAUUCUGUAAGUUGAGUGAAUUAAGACUAAAAGUACAGUUUUUUUGGUAAUGUGAUUUAAAUUUUUUUUUUUAAAUGGGCUUCAUGGGAAUACCUUUGUUACUAACGUGGGCUUAGGCGGGAAUCUAAUGUGUAUAGUACAAGUUACGUGACUUGUCUAAAUAUGUCUAUGCUCUAAACCUGGGGGAAAGUGGUGUGGCAUGUUGACUUGCCUGCAGUUGCAGACAUGUUGGGAAUUGUUUCCCAAUCCUAAGACUUCGUCGUAUUCUGUAGGAUAACUGCAAAUGUUCAGAGUAGCUUUUCGAAUUUGGUUCCCUUAUUAGCUUUAGGGAUGUGAUGUUAUAUAAUCCAAAAUGUUCACCAAAAAAAAAAAAAUCUUCAGAAUCACCUUCUUUUGUUACUUAGGACUUAAGCUUUGUAAGCUUUGCAUCGACUGUUGUUCCAGACCUCAAUUCAACUUAACUUUGGUCUCCCGAGCUGGUUUUUAGCUAGUAUGCAUGAGAAACAGCUUUCAUGUAUAAUGCUUUCUGCUCUGUAACUGGAAAGUUCGGUUUACUUUGCAUAAAUGCCGGUGAAAACUCUUCAUGACUAUGAGAAUUUUCUUCCAUUGUAUCAAGAAAAAUGGCUUGCUCUUUGGCAAGCAAUUCACAAGGUGGGGACAAAUUGGUACUUUAAUAAUGUAGUCUGUUCAAGCAAAUACCUUGACUCUCCUGUUAGGUAAAAAAGCAAAUGGUGACUAGUUCAGCUCUAUAUUAAUAAUACAAUGCAGUGCAAACAUAAUGCUCAGUAUUAGUGACAAGAGAAUGUCGCUGAAUUGACAUACAACCCUGAUGGGGUUUUCCUGUGGCAUAAUUCAUUAAAUCGGUGGCCAAUGCUUGCUACCGUGAUUUAGUGAUUCGAGUGCUUAGAAAUAAAAGCUCAGUUAUAUUUCUUAACAGCCAAUAACAAUUUUGAGAGAAUGUACUUGUUACAUAAUCUGUGGACUUGAGGAACAUCACUGGGGAGGGGGGUUAAUUUUGCUUCAUUUCUGCUUAUUUCAAGAUGAAUAGGUUUUUGCACUUUCAAAUGAGAAACCUGUGACUUAAGUCGAUUCUUACUAGUUUCGAUUUGUAUGUAGCUAUAAUUUGUGAAUCUUAGUGUAGAGGAUCUUAAAAUCACUCACUCAAAAAGCUGGGAAUAAAUGGGUUGCAGUAACAACACUAUACCGAGGUGCUUGCAUUGUAUUUCAUAGUCUUUUCUUGUUACAAACCAAAAUUAUUCUUUUUAAUGAGAAUGGUCUAAGGUUCAGAGGUGUGAUGCCAGAAUGUGUUUUCGUACUGUUAGGCCCUUGGAACAGAUACCGGUGCUUUCUGAAAGAUGAAAGAAAUGGAAUGGGUGCUCUUCACACAAGGUUGCAAAACCUACAAAGAAUGCAUAAUAGUCUCAUUUUUCCCCAAGAAAAGAGAUGCGUGUGACUAGUUUUGGACUUUUAACCUUAAUGGGGGUUGCAUGUCUCCUAUUGUUAAUCAUUGUCAGCUGCAGUGACAUGAUCCACAGUCCUGCAUUUACUGCCUUUCCCUUAAUGAUUUUGGACAGGUUUGAGAGAGCCAGGAUGUUUGUUCUGGGCCUUUAUUUGGUUUUGGCUUUUGCUGAUAAUGUUUCAGUGUUCUCUGUCAGCUAGUGCAGUUCUCAAAUGGCUGCCUAUUAGGGAAAGAAUUCUGAGGAUUUGACUGCUCCUAAUCAUCUGUCAUUGCUGCUAGAUAAUGAUUGGCAAUUUUUAAGACUCAACUGUGGAAAUCUCACAGUUGGUAAACCAUCAACCAUAAAAAUGUUGCUUUUGAACACCAGUGCUGAAAAGAUUUUAUUUGGAGGGUGAAGGAGGGGGCUGGUGGAUGCAGGAUAGGAUAAUCUGGAGAAUGGGGGAGAAUGCAAAACGAUAUAGUAUCCCUUAUGGAUGGUACAUGUGCAACAGGGAGCUCUUUUUUUUAUCCCCUUGGCGCAGUAACUGAUAAUCAGGGAGGAAGAAAAACCUGGAACUUGAAUUAAGGCUGAUCUUUCUGGUUUUUGUGCACUGUGGCCCUGCCAGGCAUAUAUGGUGAAGGUGAAUGUCUUCUCCCUCAGAAAAACUCAGGUUCCUUGCUGUCCCGAAUAAGGCCUAGCUUCCCUGCCCUAACUGAAAACUCAGUGAGGACUUGGGAGGGAAAGAACCAGGCAAAUGCAGAGGAUUGCAGGAUAACAACUGCAUUGUUGUGUACUGUGGAAUGGGGAGGGCACUCCUGGAGGACUCCUGCUGCAGGUGGUCAGUCCACCUGAGAAUGGAAGACAUACUUGAAUGGGGAGCAGGGUAUGUGCUUUUAUAUGAAAAGAGAACUGAUGUUAAAACUCAUUUGGUAAGGUAAACGUUGUCACAUACCUUCACAUAAGGGAUAGUAUAUUUUGGGUUGCAGUCAAACUUGAUUGUGCUCAGACUGGUGAAAAUAGAUAGGCUUUUGUAUUUUAAAUAAGAUACAGUUUUUAUUUGAAUUGAGCUGUCUACUUUAUUACUUUACAUAAGAAUAAUUUUAGAUUUCCCCCCCCCAUCAAGUUUCUUCCUGUUUUGUUUUUUUUUAAUGCUGUAACUUGCCCCUAAUCUUUGUCUCUGGAAUUUUACUCUUUAAAUUUUGAAGUUAACUAGCAUUUUCAAACCUUUAUACCCUUGUCUUUUAUAUUAACUUUCUCUUAUUAUUCUUUAGGUAAGAAUGAUUGAUGUUGGCUGAUACUGGAGUACACACUCAAGUGGAUAAGCUCUUAGUCUCGAGAUGACAUCAUACAACGUGAGCCAAGAAGGAAAGCCACAACUUGUUAGACUGAGGAAGUAUCUUAAGAUGAGGUGAACUGUGUCCAGAAAACGAAUGAGGAAGAGGGCAAAGAGGAAUGAGCAGCCUAAUUGUUGUUAAUAAAGACAUUUUUAAAUCAGA